rnacentral:rRNA from 1 species
AGAAUCAACGCUGGCGGCGUGCCUAACACAUGCAAGUCGAACGAGAAAGUGGAGCAAUCCAUGAGUAAAGUGGCGCACGGGUGAGUAACACGUGACUAACCUACCCUUGAGUGGGGAAUAACCUAGAGAAAUCUGGGCUAAUACCGCAUAAUACCUUCGGGUCAAAGGGGCAAUUCGCUUAAGGAGGGGGUCGCGGCCGAUUAGUUAGUUGGCGGGGUAAUGGCCCACCAAGACUAUGAUCGGUA